rnacentral:misc_RNA from 1 species
GAUGAAGAACGCAGCGAAAUGCGAUAAGUAAUGUGAAUUGCAGAAUCCAGUGAAUCAUCGAAUCUUUGAACGCACAUUGCGCCCGCCAGCAUUCUGGCGGGCAUGCCUGUUCGAGCGUCAUUUCAACCCUCGACCUCCCUUUGGGGAAGUCGGCGUUGGGGACCGGCAGCACACCGCCGGCCCUGAAAUGGAGUGGCGGCCCGUCCGCGGCGACCUCUGCGUAGUAAUCCAACUCGCACCGGAACCCCGACGCGGCCACGCCGUAAAACACCCAAUUUCUGAACGUUGACCUCGAAUCAGGUAGGACUACCCGCUGAACUUAAGCAUAUCAAUAAGCGGAGGA